rnacentral:lncRNA from 1 species
GUUUUUUGUUUGUUUGUUUUUUUUCAUCCAUUGUAAUUUAUGAAUGGCCAGUGGUUGGCACAUGUACCAUAUAUUGACUAGUUCUUGCUGCAGGACAAAAUUACCCAGAAGUUUAAGAUUGGCUUAAAACAGCAAUCGUUUGUAACUGUUCUUGUCUCUGUGAAGGUUGGCAGAAGUCCAGCUAUGCAGGUUGGGCUCAGCUUUGUAACUUUGGUUCUCUGUGCAGUUUUAUGGGAUGCUUGGGGAGCUCUGUUCAGACUGUGAGGACAAGGAUGGUUUCCUAUCAUGUAUCUCUCAUCCUUCUGAUGUGACCACAGCACCACUUGAGUGACCUGGAUUCGGCUUCCCCAGUGGCUCAGUGGUAAAGAAUGCACCUACCAACUCAGGAGACACAGGAGAUGCAGGUUUGAUCCCUGGGUUGGAAAGAUUUCCUGGAGAAGGGAACAGCAACCCACUCCACUAUCCUUGUCUGUGGACAGAGGAGCCUGGCAGGUACAGUCCAGGGAGUUGCAAAGAGUUGAACACAACUUAGCAACUAAACAACAAGAAAACAAUUUGGAUUGAACUCAUAUCUUGCCUCCAAAUUCAGAAAUCAAUUGAACGCUGGGUUUCUAAUUUGUGGAGAAUGUUAUGAAAAGAAAUGUGAUAGUGUUCCUAUUUUCUGUUGAUGCCUCAUUAUCCAGAAUCUUCAGCGAAAGAGAUGUUCCAUGUGACUGAUUUCCUACUUACAAAAGCUUAUUGUUUUAAGCACCAAGACUUUAGUAAAAUCACUUUGAAUUAAAGCUUGAAAAAAUUGCAUACUUCCUUAUCUUAAACAGUCUGCUGACUAGAACUGUACCCCAUUUUGUGCCUCAAAAUUAUGAGAGGAAACGAAACAGUGAAUUGUAAUUCAGUUAUAUAUUUGGAGAUGGUGA